GACGAACGCUGGCGGCGUGCUUAACACAUGCAAGUCGAACGGAAAGGCCCUGCUUUUGUGGGGUGCUCGAGUGGCGAACGGGUGAGUAACACGUGAGUAACCUGCCCUUGACUUUGGGAUAACUUCAGGAAACUGGGGCUAAUACCGGAUAGGAGCUCCUGCUGCAUGGUGGGGGUUGGAAAGUUUCGGCGGUUGGGGAUGGACUCGCGGCUUAUCAGCUUGUUGGUGGGGUAGUGGCUUACCAAGGCUUUGACGGGUAGCCGGCCUGAGAGGGUGACCGGCCACAUUGGGACUGAGUGACGGCCCAGACUCAUACGGGAGGCAGCAGUGGGGAAUAUUGCACAAAGGGCGGAAGCCUGAUGCAGCAACGCCGCGUGCGGGAUGACGGCCUUAGGGUUGUAAACCGCUUUCGCCUGUGACGAAGCGUGAGUGAAGGUAAUGGGUAAAGAAGCACCGGCUAACUACGU
rnacentral:rRNA from 1 species